GAUGAACGCUGGCGGCGUGCCUAAUACAUGCAAGUCGAGCGAACAGACGAGGAGCUUGCUCCUCUGACGUUAGCGGCGGACGGGUGAGUAACACGUGGAUAACCUACCUAUAAGACUGGGAUAACUUCGGGAAACCGGAGCUAAUACCGGAUAAUAUAUUGAACCGCAUGGUUCAAUAGUGAAAGACGGUUUUGCUGUCACUUAUAGAUGGAUCCGCGCCGCAUUAGCUAGUUGGUAAGGUAACGGCUUACCAAGGCAACGAUGCGUAGCCGACCUGAGAGGGUGAUCGGCCACACUGGAACUGAGACACGGUCCAGACUCCUACGGGAGGCAGCAGUAGGGAAUCUUCCGCAAUGGGCGAAAGCCUGACCGAGCAACGCCGCGUGAGUGAUGAAGGUCUUCGGAUCGUAAAACUCUGUUAUUAGGGAAGAACAAAUGUGUAAGUAACUAUGCACGUCUUGACGGUACCUAGUCAGAAAGCCACGGCUAACUACGUG
rnacentral:rRNA from 1 species